rnacentral:rRNA from 1 species
CCUACGGGAAGCAGCAGUAGGGAAUCUUCGGCAAUGGGGGCAACCCUGACCGAGCACGCCGCGUGAGUGAAGAAGGUUUUCGGAUCGUAAAGCUCUGUUGUAAGUCAAGAACGGGUGUGAGAGUGGAAAGUUCACACUGUGACGGUAGCUUACCAGAAAGGGACGGCUAACUACGUGCCAGCAGCCGCGGUAAUACGUAGGUCCCGAGCGUUGUCCGGAUUUAUUGGGCGUAAAGCGAGCGCAGGCGGUUUGAUAAGUCUGAAGUUAAAGGCUGUGGCUCAACCAUAGUUCGCUUUGGAAACUGUCAAACUUGAGUGCAGAAGGGGAGAGUGGAAUUCCAUGUGUAGCGGUGAAAUGCGUAGAUAUAUGGAGGAACACCGGUGGCGAAAGCGGCUCUCUGGUCUGUAACUGACGCUGAGGCUCGAAAGCGUGGGGAGCGAACAGGAUUAGAUACCCUGGGUAGU